ensembl:misc_RNA Metazoa_SRP Metazoan signal recognition particle RNA
GCCAUGCACAUUAAUCUGUUUCUGGAGUUCUGGCUAAUCAGGAGGCUGAGGCAGGAGGGUUACUUGAGUCCAGGACUUCUGGGUUGUAGUGCACUGUGCAGAUGGGUGUCCACGCUAAGUUUGGCACCAAUAUAAUGACCUCCUGGGAGCAGGGUUCACCAGGUUACCUAAGGAGGAGUGGACCACCCCAGGUCAGAAAAGGAGCAGUUCAAAACUCCUGUGCUGAUCAAUAGUGGGAUUGUACCUGUGAACAGCCAUGGCACUCUGCCCUGGGCAGCAGAGAAAGACCAUGUCUCC